rnacentral:rRNA from 1 species
UACGGGGGGGGCAAGCGUUGUUCGGAAUUACUGGGCGUAAAGGGUUUGUAGGUGGCUUGUUAAGUCAGACGUGAAAUCCCUCAGCUUAACUGGGGAACUGCGUCUGAUACUGGCGAGCUUGAGUGCAGGAGAGGAACGCGGAAUUCCAGGUGUAGCGGUGAAAUGCGCAGAUAUCAGGAGGAACACCUGUGGCGAAAGCGGCUCACUGGACCACAACUGACGCUGAGGAGCGAAAGCGUGGGGAGCGAACAGG